GGGCCACCAGCCCCGCUACAACUGGAGCUUCUGUUCCUAUAGAGGGGCAAGUGGACACGGCGGAGCACCUGCGGCCUUCGACAGAGUCCCAUGGCCGCUCUCUGGCCAGAGACAGGCUUCAUUUGAUUUCCAGCUUUUGACAAUGAGGAGUUUCCCCUAAGGAUGGCACUGCUGGCUAACCUUGAAAACUCCGGAUCAGGCCACACUGGACACUCCCUUAAGGGACUUCACCGAGCAGCUGUCGGAGCUGUGCCCUCGGGGAGGCCCUGCCACCUCUCCGGUCAGCUGUUCUGAGAAUGCAUCUCCGAGGUGAGGUGCUUCAGAGCUGGCAGCAGCGGCCAGACACAGCCUCCAUGUGCCCCCAUGGACCCCAAUGCAGUCCCCAAUGUGGUUUCUGGCUCUAUUUAUACACUGCGGUGGACCUAGA